AUAUGCUUGUCUCAAAGAUUAAGCCAUGCAUGUCUAAGUAUAAGCAAUCUAUACAGUGAAACUGCGAAUGGCUCAUUAAAUCAGUUAUCGUUUAUUUGAUAGUACCUUACUACUUGGAUAACCGUGGUAAUUCUAGAGCUAAUACAUGCUAAAAACCCCGACUUCGGAAGGGGUGUAUUUAUUAGAUAAAAAACCAAUGCUCUUCGGGGCUCCUUGGUGAUUCAUGAUAACUUAACGAAUCGCAUGGCCUUGUGCCGGCGAUGGUUCAUUCAAAUUUCUGCCCUAUCAACUUUCGAUGGUAGGAUAGUGGCCUACCAUGGUUUCAACGGGUAACGGGGAAUUAGGGUUCUAUUCCGGAGAGGGAGCCUGAGAAACGGCUACCACAUCCAAGGAAGGCAGCAGGCGCGCAAAUUACCCAAUCCCGACACGGGGAGGUAGUGACAAUAAAUACUGAUACAGGGCUCUUUUGGGUCUUGUAAUUGGAAUGAGUACAAUUUAAAUCCCUUAACGAGGAACAAAUGGAGGNNNNNNNNNNNNNNNNNNNNNGCGGUAAUUCCAGCUCCAAUAGCGUAUAUUAAAGUUGUUGCAGUUAAAAAGCUCGUAGUUGAACCUUGGGCCUGGCUGGCCGGUCCGCCUCACCGCGUGCACUGGUCCGGCCGGGCCUUUCCUCCUGGGGAGCCGCAUGCCCUUCACUGGGUGUGUCGGGGAACCAGGACUUUUACUUUGAAAAAAUUAGAGUGUUCAAAGCAGGCCUAUGCUCGAAUACAUUAGCAUGGAAUAAUAGAAUAGGACGUGUGGUUCUAUUUUGUUGGUUUCUAGGACCGCCGUAAUGAUUAAUAGGGAUAGUCGGGGGCAUCAGUAUUCAAUUGUCAGAGGUGAAAUUCUUGGAUUUAUUGAAGACUAACUACUGCGAAAGCAUUUGCCAAGGAUGUUUUCAUUAAUCAGUGAACGAAAGUUAGGGGAUCGAAGACGAUCAGAUACCGUCGUAGUCUUAACCAUAAACUAUGCCGACUAGGGAUCGGGCGAUGUUAUCUUUUUGACUCGCUCGGCACCUUACGAGAAAUCAAAGUUUUUGGGUUC
rnacentral:rRNA from 1 species